GACGAACGCUGGCGGCGUGCUUAACACAUGCAAGUCGAACGGAAAGGCCCUGCUUUUGCGGGGUGCUCGAGUGGCGAACGGGUGAGUAACACGUGAGUAACCUGCACUUGACUUUGGGAUAACUUCAGGAAACUGGGGAUCAUACCGGAUAGGAGAUCCUGCUGCAUGGUGGGGGUUGGAAAGUUUCGGCGGUUGGGGAUGGACUAGCGGCUUAUCAGCUUGUUGGUGGGGUAGUGGCUUACAAAGUCUUUGACGGGUAGCCGGUCUGAGAGGUUGACCGGCGACAUUGGGACUGAGGGACGGCGCAGACUCCUACGGGAGGCAGCAGGGGGGAAUAUUGCACAAUGGGCGGAAGCGUGAUGCAGCAACGCCGCGUGCGGGAUGACGUCCUUCGGGUGGUAAACAGCUGUCGCAUGUGACGAAGCGGGAGUGACGGUAAUGGGUAAAGAAGCACCGGCUAACUACGUG
rnacentral:rRNA from 1 species